GAUGAAGAACGUAGCGAACUGCGAUAAGUAAUGUGAAUUGCAGAAUUCAGUGAAUCAUCGAAUCUUUGAACGCACCUUGCGCCCUUUGGCUAUUCCGAAGGGCAUGCCUGUUUGAGUAUCAUGAACACCUCAACUCUCAUGGUUUGCCAUGAUGAGCUUGGACUCUGGGGGUCUUGCUGGCCUAUGGUCAGCUCCUCUCAAAUAAAUCAGCUUGCCAGUGUUUGGUGGCAUCACAGGUGUGAUAACUAUCUACGCUUGUGGUUUUCCAUCAGGUAACCUUCAGUGAUGGAGGUUCGCUGGAGCUCAUAAAUGUCCCUCCUCAGCGAGGACAGCUUUUUGAACGUUUGAUCUCAAAUCAGGUAGGACUACCCGCUGAACUUAAGCAUAUUAAUAAGCGGAGGA
rnacentral:misc_RNA from 1 species